ensembl:snRNA U6 U6 spliceosomal RNA
GUGCUCAUUUUGGCAGCACAUAUACUGAAAUUGGAACGACUCAGAGAAGAUUAGCAUGGCCCCUGCACAAAGAUGACAAGCAAAUUUGUGAAGCAUUCCAUAUUUUU